rnacentral:ncRNA from 1 species
AUAUAAUUAAUAUAUAACCUUAUAACAGUCGACUCAAAGAUGGUUCAGACAAGGGGAAUUUCACUAUUUAAUUAAAACAAAGAAUUGAGAUGGUCCCUACAGAUGCUAAUGCAAUGUGAUUUUUGCUUAGUGCUCUGAAUGUUAAAGUGAAGAAAUUCAACCAAGCACGGGUAAACGACAAGAGUAAAUAUGAGUCUUUUAAGGUAGCCAAAUGCCUCGUCAUCUAAUCAGUGAUGCACAUGAAUGGAUUAACUAGAUUCCCACUAUCCCUAUCUAUUGUCUAGCGAAACCACGACCAAGGGAAUGGGCUUGGCAUAAUCAAUAGGGAAAGAAGACCUUGUUGAGCUUGACUUUAGUAUGAAUUUGUGAAAUGACUUGAGAGGUGUAGAAAAAGUGGGAUUAAUUUUCGGCACAAAUGAAAUACAACUACUUUUAACAUUAUUUUACUUAUUAUGUGGGGCAGAGAGGGGCAUUUACCCUAUUUUUGGCCUUAAGACACGUUUCAAUGGGUCGAUCUAGGCAAAAGACAUUGUCAGGUGGGGAUUUUGGAUGGGGCGACACAUCUGUUAAAAGAUAACAUAAAAUAUAAUUGGUGUAGAUAGAAAAUUUGUAUUUGGGAGAUCCUAGUGCACAACCACCCUUAUCACAUUUCCCUCCUAAUUUGUAGU